AAGGGUUCGCUAGUCUAACAAGGUUUAACAAUAAUUGAUAACUUAACUUGAAUAGAAUCUCAAAGGUAUACAAUAGGAUAAGUAUUGUACAACAACAUCAUGCUUGAAAGAUUAAUAAACUUUAAUAUACAAGACAGGCUUGAUCAAUAAUAAUGAGAACUUGCUCAACGUAGAAAGGUGAAUUCAUCAACUUAUAUAAUGAU
rnacentral:lncRNA from 1 species